GAUGAACGCUGGCGGCGUGCCUAAUACAUGCAAGUCGAGCGAACAGACGAGGAGCUUGCUCCUCUGACGUUAGCGGCGGACGGGUGAGUAACACGUGGAUAACCUACCUAUAAGACUGGGAUAACUUCGGGAAACCGGAGCUAAUACCGGAUAACAUGUUGAACCGCAUGGUUCAACAGUGAAAGACGGUCUUGCUGUCACUUAUAGAUGGAUCCGCGCCGCAUUAGCUAGUUGGUAAGGUAACGGCUUACCAAGGCAACGAUGCGUAGCCGACCUGAGGGGGUGAUCGGCCACACUGGAACUGAGACACGGUCCAGACUCCUACGGGAGGCAGCAGUAGGGAAUCUUCCGCAAUGGGCGAAAGCCUGACGGAGCAACGCCGCGUGAGUGAUGAAGGUCUUCGGAUCGUAAAACGCUGUUAUUAGGGAAGAACAAAUGUGUAAGUAACUAUGCACGUCUUGACGGUACCUAAUCAGAAAGCCACGGCUAACUACGUG
rnacentral:rRNA from 1 species